GCUACAGCUUGAUUCGCGGCGCACAACGGAUGUGGAUAGGCUGAGCUGUCAGGAGAAGACCGUUGAAGAGUGGUGUGAGUAAGCAAAGAUUUGAGUUUCGAAGUUGAAAUGGGUCUCUCUACUUUGUCAAUAAGUUGGCCUUUGUCAAUAAGUUGGCCUUGUUCUUUCACUUGAGUUGGGCUUCCUAUAAUUCUGACGCUCCAAAGGAGUAAUACGCCGGUGGCGAAAAAAGGUCAGUCGUCAACUCGUCACUAACCAUCACUUCUUUGAGAUUCUAUCGCCCGUGGUGAUAUAUAUAAGUCUUAGAUAUAGGUAAAAAUAAUAUAAAUGUAUGUUCAAAUUUAGAUUAUUUGUAAGUAUAUAAAAAUUGUUUCUGUUUUAAUAGUAAUAAUAUUUUUAUUUGUAUAAAAUAACGGUGUAGAUCGGAUAUCCGGCCUUGAAAUUUUUAGUAUUCGUAAUAUGUUUUGUUUUUAGCGGAUAUUGACUUUUAAUAUUUAAUUUGCUCCGAAAAUUUAUAGAUAUCUAAAUGUUCUAGAUCAAGUCAAAACAAAUAACAAAACAAAAAAAAUUAACAGAAAAAUGCACAGUCAGUCACAAGCGUCGUGCCGUGUUAGACCAUGAAUGUACAUUAUCGUUGAUUAUUAUAUGGGCAGACACUUGUCCAAUGCUUACGCGUGUGGAUAUUUCGGCCACUCCGGUGAAGUAAUGUUCUCUAUUAUAAACAGGAAAAAAUAUUAUCGAUGACGACGUUGUCAAUUUUGUGUGUUUUCUGUGGAACGGUCAUCUUGUUAUACGAAUCUUCUUGAUUAUGAUUAAUGAAUUUAAGUCGUACAGUAGCUGUCAACCAAAAAGAAAAAGUCGUUUUAAUAUAUAAAAAGAGUAGUCUAUCUACUUCUGCGGGGUAGAACUAGAACAAGUUGUAAUACUUUUUAGAAUUUUAAAAUUAGUAGUAACUCAUAGUUUAGUCGUUGGAAGAUGUAUGAGCAUCACCAGAACCACAAAUCGACCGCUAUAACAUUAUUAUAUAUUUGAAUGAACGGGUCUUACAGGAAAGCAUUUGAAAUUCUUUUCAAAUGCCUACACAUGAGAUUCCAUGCCAAGUAAUAUUAAAACAGAAUCAUUCCUAAAAAAAAUAAUUAAAAAGUUAUUGGACCUUUUUAUUAACUAAUUAUUUUUUUUGGUCCUACUUAAUAUUUCACAAACAAUAGAAGGUAACAUGAGAUACAUAUCAAAUUAAAUGGUUUAAUCAAUCCAUUUAUUUAUUUUUAGACUACCGAAUGAUGUAUCUCACGUUAGGAAAUACAUAUUUACCUUAUAUUCUAAUAGUUUUUUUUGUUAAGAAUAUAUUAUAUAUACAAUUUUCAAAACAGAAUACAGAAAAUGAUUAAAUACUAUUAAAAAUAAAUUAUCUAAAAAUCUAUUUGAACAAAGUUGUUGUUCCUAUUCAUUAGUAAAUUAUUGGUCUUACUUAAUAUUUUUCUAACAAUACAAGGUCACGUGACAUACAUAUCAAAUUUUAAGCGUGGAUCCGGAUCCGUUAUUCAAAUACCUGUAAAAUAUUUAUAAUUUUUGGAUAAGUAUGAAAUACAAAUUAACUUGGUAUUUUAGGACUCGAAAAAGACUCGAAGUACCUCAAAACC